GACGAACGCUGGCGGCGUGCUUAACACAUGCAAGUCGAGCGGUAAGGCCCUUUCGGGGGUACACGAGCGGCGAACGGGUGAGUAACACGUGGGUGACCUGCCCUCAGCGUCUGGGAUAAAGCCCGGGAAACUGGGUCUAAUACCGGAUAUGACUUCAUGACGCAUGUUGUGGAGUGGAAAGCCUUGUGCGGCUGAGGAUGGGCCCGCGGCCUAUCAGCUUGUUGGG
rnacentral:rRNA from 1 species